rnacentral:lncRNA from 1 species
GAGUAAAGUUGUGGCUUACAUAAUGCUUCCACAUGCACCAUUCUACUUAUUAGACAACCCUGUGAAGUGGAUUCAAAUACUCUCAUUUUAUAGAUAAGAACAAUUUAGAUCUAGAAAUAGUAAGGAACUUAAAUCCAAUUUACACAACAAUGUUUUCUUGUUUCCCUGUUCUUGUUACUACCCUUCUGUACUUCAUCUUAAUAUAGAAUGGCCAGGAGAUAAGUGAAGCUAUAGAACUGACUGGGUGAUUCCAGAAAUUGGAGCUAUAGAGUCCCAUAGUAACUUAUGAAUUGUCCUACAGUGCAGUCCUACAGCUCCGUUAUGAUAAUCCUCCAGAUGAAGCUAUGUUCAAGACUGGACUAGAUCUUGUGCUAUAAAGCCACACUGGAACCAUCUCCAAUUCCCCACCUUGCUUCAGUUUUAUAUUCUUGCAGAUAGCCUCUUUGAAUCCAUCAGGAGCUACCUUCUUUCACAACUACACUCAAAGAAAGAAAUAAUAAAAUCUGGCUUACCUGUUCAGAAGUUGCCAACCCCUGCCAGAAGAAAAAAUAAAAAUAAAAAUAAAAAACAAUUGGAGGAAAUGGCAGUUUGAUGGGAAAUGCUAGUUUAUAGGACCCGAGACCAACAGGAGACAGAUCCAAAACUGACAGAAAGCACUUUGGAUAAUCGAGAGAUCCUUGAGUUUGAACUAGAUGCAGUGACUGGAUGGACCUUCAGGCCAGAUUUCAAGGAUCUAAUGCAAGACUCUAAUGCCCUAAGGAGUUAAUUUUCAAAUAUCCACAACAAACUAUUACAUGAGUAGGAAAUAAAAUUUAAUUUUGUAAAGCUAGUGAUAUUUUGAAGUUGUUGGUUCUAGGACUUAGUCUAUUCGUAUAAUACACAAAAUUUACCAAAAUACAUUAGCCCAGAAUUAUCUCAUGUAUACCUGAAAUCUAAAACUAUGUAAUUUGAGUUUAUUUGUCCUUUGUCUAUUAGCGAUGAUAUUUUCAGAUGUAUACUCUUUAACCCAAUAAAUAUAAGUCCCAUGAGGACAUUUCCUUCCGCAAUAUACUCUGGAUACUGUCUCUUCUCGUACUUUGCCAGACAGCUUUCUCCAUAAUCUGUUCUCUCUCCUAUUAAUCUCUCCAUUGCACUAGCCCCUUCCUAUUAUCAUUUAAACAUUUUUAUGUCUCCAUCAUGAAAUAAAAUUUCUCCCUUUAUUACAUUUUACCUCACAGAAACAACUACAAUGCAAUUUUUUUCACACAUUCAUAGCCAAACAUAUUCAAAGUGUUGUCCAUUCAUUCUGCACCCACAUCUUUACUAUCUGCUUGUCAAUGUAUUCCAUUCUGGCUUAUAAUUCCACAAUUCAAGCAAAAAUGACUUUUGAUAAAGUCAGAAAUGACCUUUAUCUUGCUAAAUACGAUGGACUUUUGUUCUAAGUAACCUCAAUUUCUUUCAUUUAAUGUUUCUUGUUGGAGUCCUUUUGAAGCACAUUUUCAAAAUAAUUCAAGUAAGUCCAAUUUAUCCAUUUUUCUUUCAUUACUUGUACUCUGUUGUCAUGUUGAGGAACUAUUGCCUAAUCCAAGGUCACAAAGAUUUGCUCCUCUGUUUCUAACAGUUUUAUAGUUUUAGUUCUUGCAUUAAAGUGUGCAAUUCAUUUUGAGUUAGUAUUUGUAUAUGCUGUGGGAUAAAGCUUCAACUUUAUUUUUUUCUUGUGGCUAUCCAGUUGUCUCAGUACCAUGUAUUGAAAACACAUUUCUCUUCCCAGCAUUAUGUUGUUUUGAAAACUUUGUCAAAGACAACUAUCAUAAAUGUAAAUGUUUAUUUUGGGGCUGUCAAUUCGAUUUCACUGACCUGUAUGUAUUUCCUUAAAAUAGCAUUACAGUCUCUUUCUUGAUUACUAAAGUUUUGCAGUAAAUUUUCAAAUCAGAUUAUGUAGAGUCCUAUAACUUUGUUCUGUUUUAAAAAAGAUUAUUUUGGCUAUUCUUGGUUUUUUUCCUCAUAAAUUUUAGAAUCAACUUGUCAAUUUCUGCAACUAGGCCCUCUGGAUCUUGAUAGCAAUCAUGUUGAAUCUGUAGAUCUAUUUGGGGAAUAUUGCCAUUUAACCAAUACUAAGUCUUCUAAUCUGGAAUAUCUUUUUAUUUAUUUAAGUCUUUGUUUUCUUUCAAUAAUGGUUUAUAGCUUUUACUGUAUAAGUUAUGAACUUUUUUGUUAAAAUUUCCCUAAAUAGUUUAUUCUUUUUGAUGCUAUUGAAGAUAAAAUUUUAUAAUUUCAUUUUUAGGUAGUUAAUUGCUAGUGUAUAGGAAUAUAAUUUAUUUUUGUAUAUCAAUCUUAUAUAUUAUAGCCUUGAUGAAUUCAUUUAUUAAUUCUAAUUGUCUUUCAGUGGAUUAUUUAGAAUUUUCUACGUACAAGAUUGCAUCAUCCGAAAGUAGAAAUAGAUUUACAACUUUAUUUUAGUCUAGUUAACUUUUUUUAUUGCCUAAUUAUCCUCACGAGAACGUUCAGUAUAGCUAUGUUAUGGGAAACAGCAUUCAUUUUUUCACCAGGAAGUGUGAUGUAAACUGUAGGAUUUUUAUAAAUGUUCGUUAUCAAGUUAAGGAUGUUUCCUUCUAUUCCUAAUUUGUUGAGGUUUUUUUUUAAACAACAACAACAACAACAACAACAAAAAUUAAAAACUGUUGGAUUUUGUCAAAUGCUUUUUUGUGUCUAUGGUAAUAAUCAUGUUUUUGCUUUUACUAUAUUAAUUCUUUGUGAAAAUUGAUUGAUUUUUAAAGUAUUAAACCAACCAUGUAAUACUGGGAUAAAUCCCAAUUGGUCAUAGUAUGUACAAAUGUUUAGAUGCUGGUGGAUUCGAUAUUUGCAUCUAUAUUUAUAAGGAAUAUUGGUCUGUAAGUUUUUCCUUGUA